rnacentral:rRNA from 1 species
UACGAAGGGGGCUAGCGCUGUUCGGAAUUACUGGGCGAAAAGCGCACGUAGGCGGACUCUUAAGUCAGGGGUGAAAUCCCGGGGCUCAACCUCGGAACUGCCUUUGAUACUGUGAGUCUCGAGACCGGAAGAGGUGAGUGGAAUUCCUAGUGUAGAGGUGAAAUUCGUAGAUAUUAGGAAGAACACCAGUGGCGAAGGCGGCUCACUGGACCGGUUCUGACGCUGAGGUGCGAAAGCAUGGGGAGCAAACAGG